rnacentral:rRNA from 1 species
GACAGAGGUGGCAAGCGUUGUUCGGAAUUACUGGGCUUAAAGGGCGCGUAGGUGGUGGCGUAAGUCCGGGGUGGAAUCCUACAGCUUAACUGUAGAAUUGCCUUGGAAACUGCAUCACUUGAGUCAGACAGGGGAUGGCGGAAUUCCCGGUGUAGCGGUGAAAUGCGUAGAUAUCGGGAGGAAGGCCGGUGGCGAAGGCGGCCAUCUGGGUCUGAACUGACACUGAGGCGCGAAAGCGUGGGUAG